rnacentral:sRNA from 1 species
AUAACGCACGAAUCCUGUGGGUGAGAAGCUGCGUUCAGGUUCGAGCAUCGCGCAGCGAUACGACAACGCGCAGUGUUGCCCGGAGGGUGAGGCCAAAGGCCGAAUCAAUCCCGCACGGUACCCCC